ACACCUCAACUCUUCAUGGUUUUUCUGUGAUGAGCUUGGACUUUGGGGGUUUUGCUGGCCCUAUGGUCAGCUCCUCUAAAAUGAAUCAGCUUGCCAGUGUUUGGUGGGCAUCACGGGUGUGAUAACUAUCUACGCUUGUGGUUUUCCACCAGGUAACCUUCAGCAAUGGAGGUUCGCUGGAGCUCACAGAUGUCUCUCUUCGGAGGAUGACCCUUUGAAU
rnacentral:misc_RNA from 1 species